UAAAAAUAUAAUAAGAUUAAAUUAUAUGAUGUAGUGGGUUAUCAUGAGUCUUACAUUGUGAUAAGUACAACUUAUAAGUAGGCAGACAUGAUUUCAAUAAUACUAGGACACGUCAUGGUGAUAUUGCAUUAUGAUUUAGGCAAUGAAAGAGUGGUACCAACCUUGGAAUCCGAAUUAGGACUAGGAUAAAUGCAUCAAAUUGGUGGACAGGAUUCAUGGGACGGCCACCCCUCUACUAUGUACCUCCUUUUUGUGAACCCAGUCACCAUAUUUCCAACUGCAAUCCGAUUUUGGAUUGCAUUUAAUGGGUCUGAUUCCAUUCUAUUGGUGGUGAACCUACCAUAUGUCUACAUCCCCUUUUUUUGUUUUUUUUUUUCAGUCAUUUAGUGUACCACUAAAUAUCCCACACCAAACUUCCAAUCCUUGUGACAGUCCAAUGGCCACAACCGUCCACCAUUUCUUUUCUUGCCUGGGAAAUCUUUUCUCAUUCAUUCAGAUCCUAAUGAUAGUUUGGUUGCCUUAGGAAGCUCUCUGGAAGCCAAAUCCCCGGCCAUUGUCAUGGUGACUGAGUGUAUUUCAUCCUCCUGCACUUUAGGACUGUUUCAAUGUAAGAUUGGCAACACAUUUUCAAGCUGAGAGUGGUGGGAUGCUGUGAUUAAUUACUGCAAAUUAGCUAAAAACAGGCCAAGAUGCAGAGGACCCAUGUUCAAGUUUUGGACAAAUUUGAAAUCAAGGAGAAGAAAAACGAGAGAUUAGAGUUGUUACAAGAACAAAAUUCACUGCAUGAUUGAAUGGGGUCUUAUCUUUCUGGGACCUCAAGAGCAUGUUUCUAUAGAAAAUAGUAGUUUCCAAAGUUGUGAGAUCAAACUACCUAAGAAUCAGACAAACACUUAUAGCAGAAAUGCUUAUAUUUCCAUGACAGAUAGUCAGUACUACAUCCUGAGUUUCUCUGAAUUCAUGGUUCUUUUCUAGUUAAGCAUCAUACAUAUGUCGCUGCUGAAAGGAAAGGAACAAGGUUAGAAUGAGGCUUUUAGCUUUGGGAAUGGAUGAAUUGGACUGGGAACUCUCCUUUUCGGGUUUGUGUUAAGGAGUGAUGAGUGUAAGGUCAUGCACCGCAGGCUGCUCCACACUCAGCGGUACAUCCUGCACCGUAGACCCCCGUGUCGGAUGCAGAAGCUUUGUCUUUGGAUGCACCAUCAGCACAAGAGAAGAUUACAGCAGAGAUUAAGGAGAGAGCAACCAAAGCUAGCCAAAAGACUACAUAAGCACCACCAAGGCCAUCACUGCCGCCACCCCCACCUCCAGUGACCACCCCUUUCCAUGGCCUCACCAUCUAACUCCCUUUCUCUCUUACAGAAUUAGUAGUCUUUGUUUGUGAAGUGAACGACCCCAACAGGGCACAGAGGCUUCUUAUCCUCGGCUUCCUCCAAAAAGUCGAAAUUCACUUUAAGUCUAGUCCUCUCUACUUUAGAACUUUAUGUGAUUCUCCUCUCUUGCAUUAGAAUUGGCAGGCAAUACUAUGGAGUUUUGACAUG